UAGCUCAGUUGGUAGAGCAGUUGACUUUUAAUCAAUUGGUCGCAGGUUCGAAUCCUGCACGACCCACCAAUAUUAAGGUGGUUACUGGUAGGGAACGUGAAGGAUAACGUUGCUUUAGCAACGGCCCGAAGGGCGAGGCGAAGCCGAGUCAUCCUGCACGACCCACCA
rnacentral:sRNA from 1 species